CAAAAACAUCGCCUCCUGCAAAACUUCAAUGUAUAGGAGGUCUUACCUGCCCAGUGACAUAAGUGUUUAACGGCCGCGGUAUUUUGACCGUGCUAAGGUAGCGCAAUCACUUGUUUUUUAAAUGAAGACCUGUAUGAAUGGUGAAACGAGGGCUUAACUGUCUCCCCCUCCUAGUCAAUGAAACUGAUCUGCCCGUGCAGAAGCGGACAUAAUUUUACAAGACGAGAAGACCCUUUGGAGCUUUAGACAUAAAGUCAACCAUGCUCAAACCCACAUAAAAUGGGACAAAACAAACAUCACACUGACCAAAGUCUUCGGUUGGGGCGACCCUGGGGAAAAACAAAACCCCCACGCGGAAUAGAUUAUAUCCUUAAACCAAGAGAAAUAUCUCCAAGUCACAGAAUAUCUGACCUCUAAGAUCCGGCCAACAAGCCGAUUAACAAACCAAGUUACCCUAGGGAUAACAGCGCAAUCCCCUUCAAGAGUCCAUAUCGACAAGGGGGUUUACGACCUCGAUGUUGGAUCAGGACAUCCUAAUGGCGCAGCCGCUAUUAAGGGUUCGUUUGUUCAACGAUUAAAGUCCUACGUGAUCUGAG
rnacentral:rRNA from 1 species